rnacentral:ncRNA from 2 species
UUAAUGUGAGAAGCGUAAGAAGGGAUCUAGACCCUUGAUCACGUUUUAUCUAAAACCCACCCAUGAAUCGCGGUUGAUACGUGGAUUAAUCUGAUGCAUCUUGGUGCAUCUCAUCCAAAGGUGCAUUCAAAGGUGAAGAUCAUUUCUUACGCUUCUC